rnacentral:tRNA from 1 species
GGAGAGGUGUCCGAGCUGGCCGAAGGAGCACGAUUGGAAAUCGUGUGUACCGGCAAAACCGGUACCGAGGGUUCGAAUCCCUCCCUCUCCGCCA